rnacentral:rRNA from 1 species
GAUAAACGCUAGCGGCAGGCCUAACACAUGCAAGUCGAGGGGUAAGGUUCAGCUUGCUGAACACACGACCGGCGCACGGGUGAGUAUCGCGUUUGCAAUCUACCUCUAACUGGGGCAUAGCCCGAAGAAAUUCGGAUUAAUACCCCAUAACAUCAUAAAAGGGCAUCCUUUAGUGAUUAAAGCUCCGGCGGUUAGAGAUGAGCAUGCGUGUCAUUAGUUUGUUGGUGAGGUAAUGGCUCACCAAGACUACGAUGACUAGGGGGUCUGAGAGGAUGAUCCCCCACACUGGUACUGAGACACGGACCAGACUCCUACGGGAGGCAGCAGUGAGGAAUAUUGGGCAAUGGGCGAAAGCCUGACCCAGCCAUGCCGCGUGCAGGAUGACUGCCCUAUGGGUUGUAAACUGCUUUUGUAAGGGAAGAACAGUUCCUACGUGUAGGGAU